rnacentral:rRNA from 1 species
CCUACGGGAGGCAGCAGUGAGGAAUAUUGGUCAAUGGGCUUACGCCUGAAGCAGCCAAGUCGCGUGAGGGAAGACUGCCCUAUGGGUUGUAAACCUCGUUUUUCAGGGAGCAACGCCGGCUACGUGUCGCCGCACUGAGAGUACCUGAAUAAACAGCAUCGGCUAACUCCGUGCCAGCAGCCGCGGUAAGACGUAGGAUCCGAGCGUUAUCCGGAAUUACUGGGUGUAAAGGGAGCGUAGGCGGCGAAUUAAGUCAGAAGUGAAAACCCAGGGCUCAACCUUGGGACGGCAUUUGAAACUGAGUAGCUUGAGUGCAGGAGAGGAAAGCGGAAUUCCUAGUGUAGCGGUGAAAUGCGUAGAUAUUAGGAGGAACACCAGUGGCGAAGGCGGCUUACUGGACUGUAACUGACGUUGAGGCUCGAAAGCGUGGGGAGCAAACAGGAUUAGAUACCCGAGUAGUC